AGAGCUAUAUUCAAUUUAUGAUUUAUGAGUUGCAUUCAUAAGGUGUUUUUUAUAAACUAGCUUUA
rnacentral:tRNA from 1 species